GGGGGCAUGGGACUUGCUCCUGAUGUUAGCGGCGGACGGGUGAGUACACGUGGGUAACCUGCCUGUAAGACUGGGAUAACUCCGGGAAACCGGGGCUAAUACCGGAUGGUUGUCUGAACCGCAUGGUUCAGACAUAAAAGGUGGCUUCGGCUACCACUUACAGAUGGACCCGCGGCGCAUUAGCUAGUUGGUGAGGUAACGGCUCACCAAGGCGACGAUGCGUAGCCGACCUGAGAGGGUGAUCGGCCACACUGGGACUGAGACACGGCCCAGACUCCUACGGGAGGCAGCAGUAGGGAAUCUUCCGCAAUGGACGAAAGUCUGACGGAGCAACGCCGCGUGAGUGAUGAAGGUUUUCGGAUCGUAAAGCUCUGUUGUUAGGGAAGAACAAGUGCCGUUCAAAUAGGGCGGCACCUUGACGGUACCUAACCAGAAAGCCACGGCUAACUACGUGCCAGCAGCCGCGGUAAUACGUAGGUGGCAAGCGUUGUCCGGAAUUAUUGGGCGUAAAGGGCUCGCAGGCGGUUUCUUAAGUCUGAUGUGAAAGCCCCCGGCUCAACCGGGGAGGGUCAUUGGAAACUGGGGAACUUGAGUGCAGAAGAGGAGAGUGGAAUUCCACGUGUAGCGGUGAAAUGCGUAGAGAUGUGGAGGAACACCAGUGGCGAAGGCGACUCUCUGGUCUGUAACUGACGCUGAGGAGCGAAAGCGUGGGGAGCGAACAGGAUUAGAUACCCUGGUAGUCCACGCCGUAAACGAUGAGUGCUAAGUGUUAGGGGGUUUCCGCCCCUUAGUGCUGCAGCUAACGCAUUAAGCACUCCGCCUGGGGAGUACGGUCGCAAGACUGAAACUCAAAGGAAUUGACGGGGGCCCGCACAAGCGGUGGAGCAUGUGGUUUAAUUCGAAGCAACGCGAAGAACCUUACCAGGUCUUGACAUCCUCUGACAAUCCUAGAGAUAGGACGUCCCCUUCGGGGGCAGAGUGACAGGUGGUGCAUGGUUGUCGUCAGCUCGUGUCGUGAGAUGUUGGGUUAAGUCCCGCAACGAGCGCAACCCUUGAUCUUAGUUGCCAGCAUUCAGUUGGGCACUCUAAGGUGACUGCCGGUGACAAACCGGAGGAAGGUGGGGAUGACGUCAAAUCAUCAUGCCCCUUAUGACCUGGGCUACACACGUGCUACAAUGGACAGAACAAAGGGCAGCGAAACCGCGAGGUUAAGCCAAUCCCACAAAUCUGUUCUCAGUUCGGAUCGCAGUCUGCAACUCGACUGCGUGAAGCUGGAAUCGCUAGUAAUCGCGGAUCAGCAUGCCGCGUUCCCCC
rnacentral:rRNA from 1 species